GACGAACGCUGGCGGCGCGCCUAACACAUGCAAGUCGAACGGAGCUUAGAGAGCUUGCUUUUUAAGCUUAGUGGCGAACGGGUGAGUAACGCGUGAGUAACCUGCCCUAGAGUGGGGGACAACAGUUGGAAACGACUGCUAAUACCGCAUAAGCCCACGGUACCGCAUGGUACUGAGGGAAAAGGAUUUAUUCGCUUUAGGAUGGACUCGCGUCCAAUUAGCUAGUUGGUGAGGUAACGGCCCACCAAGGCGACGAUUGGUAGCCGGACUGAGAGGUUGAACGGCCACAUUGGGAUUGAGACACGGCCCAGACUCCUACGGGAGGCAGCAGUGGGGGAUAUUGCACAAUGGGGGAAACCCUGAUGCAGCGACGCCGCGUGGAGGAAGAAGGUUUUCGGAUUGUAAACUCCUGUCGUUAGGGACGAUAAUGACGGU
rnacentral:rRNA from 1 species